rnacentral:rRNA from 1 species
GCUAGCGGCAGGCUUAACACAUGCAAGUCGAGGGGUAACAGGCAGAUUGCUUGCAAUCUUGCUGACGACCGGCGCACGGGUGCGUAACGCGUAUAGAAUCUGCCUUGUACAGGAGGAUAGCCUUUAGAAAUGAAGAUUAAUACUCCAUAAUAUUGGGAAGUGGCAUCACUAUCUAAUUAAAGAUUUAUCGGUACAAGAUGACUAUGCGUCCUAUUAGCUAGAUGGUAAGGUAACGGCUUACCAUGGCUACGAUAGGUAGGGGGUCUGAGAGGAUUAUCCCCCACACUGGUACUGAGACACGGACCAGACUCCUACGGGAGGCAGCAGUGAGGAAUAUUGGUCAAUGGAGGCAACUCUGAACCAGCCAUGCCGCGUGCAGGAAGACUGCCCUAUGGGUUGUAAACUGCUUUUAUACGGGAAGAAACAGAGCUACGUGUAGCUCCUUGACGGUACCGUAAGAAUAAGCACCGGCUAACUCCGUGCCAGC